rnacentral:rRNA from 1 species
CUCCUUGAUUCAGCGGCGGACGGGCGAGUAAUGCCUAGGAAUCUGCCUGGUAGUGGGGGACAACGUUUCGAAAGGAACGCUAAUACCGCAUACGUCCUACGGGAGAAAGCAGGGGACCUUCGGGCCUUGCGCUAUCAGAUGAGCCUAGGUCGGAUUAGCUUGUUGGUGAGGUAAUGGCUCACCAAGGCGACGAUCCGUAACUGGUCUGAGAGGAUGAUCAGUCACACUGGAACUGAGACACGGUCCAGACUCCUACGGGAGGCAGCAGUGGGGAAUAUUGGACAAUGGGCGAAAGCCUGAUCCAGCCAUGCCGGGUGUGUGAAGAAGGUCUUCGGAUUGUAAAGCACUUUAAGUUGGGAGGAAGGGUUGUAGAUUAAUACUCUGCAAUUUUGACGUUACCGACAGAAUAAGCACCGGCUAACUCUGUGCCAGCAGCCGCGGUAAUACAGAGGGUGCAAGCGUUAAUC